UGGGGAAUCUUGCGCAAUGGGCGAAAGCCUGACGCAGCCAUGCCGCGUGAGUGAUGAAGGCCUUAGGGUUGUAAAACUCUUUCACCGGGGACGAUAAUGACGGUACCCGGAGAAGAAGCCCCGGCUAACUUCGUGCCAGCAGCCGCGGUAAUACGAAGGGGGCUAGCGUUGCUCGGAAUUACUGGGCGUAAAGGGCGCGUAGGCGGAUCAGCAAGUUGGGGGUGAAAGCCCGGGGCUCAACCUCGGAAUUGCCUUCAAAACUGCUGAUCUAGAGUACGGGAGAGGUGUGUGGAACUCCGAGUGUAGAGGUGAAAUUCGUAGAUAUUCGGAAGAACACCAGUGGCGAAGGCGACACACUGGCCCGUUACUGACGCUGAGGCGCGAAAGCGUGGGGAGCAAACAGGAUUAGAUACCCUGGUAGUCCACGCUGUAAAACGAUGAUUGCUAGUUGUCGGCAGGCAUGCCUGUCGGUGACGCAGCUAACGCAUUAAGCAAUCCGCCUGGGGAGUACGGUCGCAAGAUUAAAAACUUAAGGAUUGACGGGGUCAUAGCUGUUU
rnacentral:rRNA from 1 species